AGGAGUGGAGAGAACCAGCGACUUCUGCAAACUUUGCUAACCGACGCCCCCUCUUCUGUCUUUCCUGAUACCAUCCUGAACAUGUUCUGCAGAGUCUAGGACUUCCUCGCUGACCAGGAGGGGGCGACAGGCCUGCAUGCUGCGGUACUUGACGGUGAACCCGUUUGUGUCUCCUCCUCCUCCUCCUCCUCCUCCCUGGCCUCUGAUUGGCC